GCCUGGGUGGCUCAGUCGGUUGAGCGGCUGACUUCGGCUCAGGUCAUGAUCUCGCGGUCCGUGAGUUCGAGCCCCACGUCGGGCU
rnacentral:tRNA from 1 species